GGAAAACAAAAUGGCGGUUCCUUUGAUUCGGGAAAAUCAUGUUGAACGCCGCUUUUGCUAGCAGUGAUUUCUUCUUAUCUGUUUAAGCAGGGAUUUCACCGACUCAGUGCGUCAUAUAUACAGUAUUUGUGUUGUUUCUCAUCGGCAACAGACCUCAUUUGCAGGGUUAUUUUUACGACUUCACCGAAUCGUACUGUAAUGAACGCGGAAGGGUUCUAACACCAAGUUAGAGCCAUUGAGGGUGUAUUUCAUUGUGUGUGCAGACAAA